UCCAUCGUGAGGUGGAAUCUAAAAGAAGUCGGCGGCAAAGCUCUGGUCUGACGAACAGAAACUACAUAAAAGGCAUAUGCCUGUGGGUGAGUUUGCCACACAAAACAAAGCCCUAAGACUAUCCGAAACAGGUGGUGUAAAUGUAGCAGAUAUAUGGAGUGAAAGAUUACGCU
rnacentral:ncRNA from 1 species